rnacentral:rRNA from 1 species
UACGAAGGGGGCUAGCGUUGAUCGGAAUCACUGGGCGUAAAGCGCACGUAGGCGGAUUGCUAAGUCAGGGGUGAAAUCCUGGAGCUCAACUCCAGAACUGCCCUUGAUACUGGCGGUCUCGAGUCCGGGAGAGGUGAGUGGAACUGCGAGUGUAGAGGUGAAAUUCGUAGAUAUUCGCAAGAACACCAGUGGCGAAGGCGGCUCACUGGCCCGGUACUGACGCUGAGGUGCGAAAGCGUGGGGAGCAAACAGG